rnacentral:rRNA from 1 species
AUUGAACGCUGGCGGCAUGCCUAACACAUGCAAGUCGAGCGGAUGAAGGGAGCUUUCUCCUGGAUUCAGCGGCGGACGGGUGAGUAAUUCCUAGGAAGCUGCCUUGUAUUUGGGGAUAACGUCCGGAAACGGGCGCUAAUACCGCAUACGUCCUUAUUGAGAAAGGGGUGGAUCUUCGGACCUCACGCUAUUAGAUGAGCCUAGUUCGGAUUACCUAGUUGGAUGGGUAAAGUCGUACCAAGGCGACUAUCCGUAACUGGCCUGAGAGGAUGAUCUGUCAACCUGAAACUGGGAAACGGUCCGACCCCCAAGGGGAGGAAGAAGUGGGGAAUAUUCGAAAAUGGGCGAAAGCCUGAUCAAGAACUGCCGGGGGUGUGAAGAAGGCCUUCGGAUUGUAAAGCCCUUUAAGUUGGGAGAAAGGGCAGUAAGUUAACACCUUGCUGUUUUGACGUUACCAACAGAAUAAGCACCGGCUAACUCCGU